GAUGAAGAACGUAGCGAAAUGCGAUAAGUAAUGUGAAUUGCAGAAUUCAGUGAAUCAUCGAAUCUUUGAACGCACAUUGCGCCCGCCAGUAUUCUGGCGGGCAUGCCUGUUCGAGCGUCAUUACAACCCUCAGGCCCCCGGGCCUGGCGUUGGGGAUCGGCGGAGCCCCCCGUGGGCACACGCCGUCCCCCAAAUACAGUGGCGGUCCCGCCGCGGCUUCCAUCGCGUAGUAGCUAACACCUCGCGACUGGAGAGCGGCGCGGCCACGCCGUAAAACACCCAACUCUUCUGAAGUUGACCUCGAAUCAGGUAGGAAUACCCGCUGAACUUAAGCAUAUCAAUAAGCGGAGGA
rnacentral:misc_RNA from 1 species